GAUGAACGCUAGCUACAGGCUUAACACAUGCAAGUCGAACGGAGUAGCAAUACUCAGUGGCAAACGGGUGAGUAACACGUAUCCAACCUAACCUCUACUCGGGUAUAGCCUUUCGAAAGGAAGAGUAAUCCCUGAUGUUAUAUGUGAUUCACAUGCAUUGCAUAUCAAAGAUUUAUCGGUAGAGGGUGGGGAUGCGUUCCAUUAGAUAGUCGGCGGGGUAACGGCCCACCGAGUCGAUGAUGGAUAGGGGUUCUGAGAGGAAGGUCCCCCACAUUGGAACUGCGACACGGUCCAAACUCCUACGGGAGGCAGCAGUGAGGAAUAUUGGUCAAUGGCCGAAAGGCUGAACCAGCCAAGUAGCGUGAAGGAUGACGGCCCUAUGGGUUGUAAACUUCUUUUUUAUGGGAAUAACGGUAUCCACGUGUGGUUGCGUGCAUGUACCAUAAGAAUAAGGAUCGGCUAACUCCGUG
rnacentral:rRNA from 1 species